rnacentral:rRNA from 1 species
CAGCGCCGCGGGAAUACGGAGGGAGCUAGCGUUGUUCGGAAUUACUGGGCGUAAAGCGCGCGUAGGCGGUUACUCAAGUCAGAGGUGAAAGCCCGGGGCUCAACCCCGGAACUGCCUUUGAAACUAGGUGACUAGAAUCUUGGAGAGGUCAGUGGAAUUCCGAGUGUAGAGGUGAAAUUCGUAGAUAUUCGGAAGAACACCAGUGGCGAAGGCGACUGACUGGACAAGUAUUGACGCUGAGGUGCGAAAGCGUGGGGAGCAAACAGGAUUAGAUACCCCUGUAGUCCCUGUCUCUUAUACC